UUUAUAUAAUAUGAUUUGUAAAGUUAACAAAAAAAAACAACAAAAAACUGUCAGACUUGCGUACUUGCAACUCUCAAACUCGUAACCAUGGUGAAUUGCAGACUCGCAACUCGCAUGCCAGACAAACUCUGUCACAUAUGAUACAUCAUUCACGAUCGUUCACUUUUAUCUUCUUUUUCAGACGUUUGUUCGACGGACUCAACACACAUCCAACAUGAACUGCUGGAUCAUUUAUUCAAGAAUGAUUCAAACCAACACAUGAUAUUACCGGUGCUAAACUAUUCGGAUGCUAUGACUGUCAAAUUUGGAAUUACUUUGAUUAAAAUAAAAGAUGUGGUGAGCACUCUGAUCUUUUUUAGUUAGGCCAAAAAAAGAAAUAUGUGUGUUUCCGGUUUCCCGACCCUACCUAGCUUUUGGACGUCGAAAUCCCGACCCUAAACUUUUUUUAUUGGGUCAUGCUUGUAAGUGUUUCCACUUAGAGGAAAAAGUUUGUGGAAAAUUGAAAUUUGAGGCAAUAUUAGGGAAAUUUAUCUUUGGAUGUGGAAGCACUGACUAAACAAAAUGGCGUCCGCUUGUUCGGAAAAUUAAAAAAAAAAGUUAAAAAAAAAGUUAAAGCCGACCUACCCUACCUAAGUUUUUAUAAGAAGAAACCGGAAACCCACAUAUUUUUUUUGGCCUUACUGGAC